AUUGAACGCUGGCGGCAGGCCUAACACAUGCAAGUCGAACGGUAGCACAGAGAGCUUGCUCUCGGGUGACGAGUGGCGGACGGGUGAGUAAUGUCUGGGAAACUGCCUGAUGGAGGGGGAUAACUACUGGAAACGGUAGCUAAUACCGCAUAACGUCGCAAGACCAAAGAGGGGGACCUUCGGGCCUCUUGCCAUCAGAUGUGCCCAGAUGGGAUUAGCUAGUAGGUGGGGUAACGGCUCACCAAGGCGACGAUGACUAGGGGAUCUGAGAGGAUGACCCCCCCACACUGGUACUGAGACACGGACCAGACUCCUACGGGAGGCAGCAGUAAGGAAUAUUGGUCAAUGGAGGGAACUCUGAACCAGCCAUGCCGCGUGCAGGAAGACAGCCCUCUGGGUCGUAAACUGCUUUUAUUCGGGAAUAAACCUUUCUACGUGUAGGAAGCUGAAUGUACCGAAGGAAUAAGGAUCGGCUAACUCCGUGCCAGCCGCCG
rnacentral:rRNA from 1 species